rnacentral:rRNA from 1 species
UGCAGCCAUGCCGCGUGUGUGAAGAAGGCCUUCGGGUUGUAAAGCACUUUCAGCAGUGAGGAAGGCGGGUACGUUAAUAGCGUGUUCGUUUGACGUUAGCUGCAGAAGAAGCACCGGCUAACUCCGUGCCAGCAGCCGCGGUAAUACGGAGGGUGCGAGCGUUAAUCGGAAUUACUGGGCGUAAAGCGCAUGCAGGUGGUUCGUUAAGUCAGAUGUGAAAGCCCGGGGCUCAACCUCGGAACUGCAUUUGAAACUGGCGGACUAGAGUACUGUAGAGGGGGGUAGAAUUUCAGGUGUAGCGGUGAAAUGCGUAGAGAUCUGAAGGAAUACCGGUGGCGAAGGCGGCCCCCUGGACAGAUACUGACACUCAGAUGCGAAAGCGUGGGGAGCAAACAGGAUUAGAUACCCUGGUAGUCCACGCCGUAAACGAUGUCUACUUGGAGGUUGUGGCCUUGAGCCGUGGCUUUCGGAGCUAACGCGUUAAGUAGACCGCCUGGGGAGUACGGUCGCAAGAUUAAAACUCAAAUGAAUUGACGGGGA